rnacentral:rRNA from 1 species
AAGUAGUUUAAGUUGUGUGCAAGUGGUAGGAGAGCGUUCUAUUUGCGUCGAAGGUAUACCGGUAAGGAGUGCUGGAGCGAAUAGAAGUGAGCAUGCAGGCAUGAGUAGCGAUAAUUAAUGUGAGAAUCAUUAACGCCGUAAACCCAAGGUUUCCUACGCGAUGCUCGUCAUCGUAGGGUUAGUCGGGUCCUAAGUCGAGUCCGAAAGGGGUAGACGAUGGCAAAUUGGUUAAUAUUCCAAUACCAACAUUAGUGUGCGAUGGAAGGACGCUUAGGGCUAAGGGGGCUAGCGGAUGGAAGUGCUAGUCUAAGGUCGUAGGAGGUUAUACAGGCAAAUCCGUAUAACAAUACUCCGAGAACUGAAAGGCUUUUUGAAGUCUUCGGAUGGAUAGAAGAACCCCUGAUGCCGUCGAGCCAAGAAAAGUUUCUAAGUUUAGCUAAUGUUGCCCGUACCGUAAACCGACACAGGUGGGUGGGAUGAGUAUUCUAAGGCGCGUGGAAGAACUCUCUUUAAGGAACUCUGCAAAAUAGCACCGUAUCUUCGGUAUAAGGUGUGGUUCGCUUCGUAUUAGGAUUUACUCCGAAAGCGAAGAAACUUACAACAAAGAGUCCCUCCCGACUGUUUACCAAAAACACAGCACUCUGCUAACUCGUAAGAGGAUGUAUAGGGUGUGACGCCUGCCCGGUGCUCGAAGGUUAAUUGAUGGGGUUAGCAUUAGCGAAGCUCUUGAUCGAAGCCCGAGUAAACGGCGGCCGUAACUAUAACGGUCCUAAGGUAGCGAAAUUCCUUGUCGGUUAAAUACCGACCUGCAUGAAUGGCGUAACGAGAUGGGAGCUGUCUCAAAGAGGGAUCCAGUGAAAUUGUAGUGGAGGUGAAAAUUCCUCCUACCCGCGGCAAGACGGAGAGACCCCGUGGACCUUUACUACAGCUUGACACUGCUAUUUGGAUAAGAAUGUGCAGGAUAGGUGGGAGGCUUUGAGUAUAUGACGCCAGUUGUAUAUGAGCCAUUGUUGAGAUACCACUCUUUCUUAUUUGGGUAGCUAACCAGCUUGAGUUA